rnacentral:rRNA from 1 species
GGCGUGCCUAAGAUAUGCAAGUCGAACGUUUCUACUUUGCUCUUCGGAGCGUUGUAGGGAGUGGCAGACGGCUGAGUAACGCGUGGGAAUUUACCCUGGACACGAGCAGAGCGCACCGAAAGGUGGGGUAAUACUCGAUAGCCCAUGUACCUUAUGGUUCAUGGUAAAGCUCCGGCGGUUUGGGAUAAGCCCGCGUCCUAUCAGGUUGUUGGUGGGGUAUUUGCCUACCAAGCCUAUGACGGGUAGCUGGUCUGAGAGGAUGAUCAGCCAGACUGGGACUGCGAUACGGCCCAGACUCCUACGGGAGGCAGCAAUUAGGAAUCGUGCGCAAUGGGGGAAACCCUGACGCCGCGACGCCGCGUGGAGGAUGAAGGCCCAAGGGUCGUAAACUCCUUUUCUCAGGGAACAAGUUCUGAGUGUACCUGAGGAAUAAGUGCCUGCUAAUCACGUGCCAGAAGCAUCGGUAAUACGUGAGGCACGAGCGUUAUCCGGAUUAACUGGGCGUAAAGAGAUGCGUAGGCGUCUUCCUAAGUCACUUGUUAUAGGCUUCGGCUCAACCGGAGUACGCAAGUGAUACUGGGUUGAUUGAGGCAGAUAGGGGAGAAGGGAAUUCCUGGUGGAGCGGUUAAAUGCGUAGAUAUCAGGAGGAACACCGAGGGCGAAGGCACUUCUCUGGAUCUGACCUGACGCUAAGGCUCGAAAGCGUGGGGAGCAAAACGGAUUAGAUACCCGUGUAGUCCACGCCGUAAACGAUCCCUGCUAGGUGU